UUCAGGGCCAGAAACGGUGUACGGUCAGACUCCAGAUCAAAGUAUUCUUUGACCGUUACAGUUUCGACUGCGAUUUUCUCAAAAUUUUCGUCGCUCGCUUAAUCUUCUCCUCUGUGUUCUUUUCGUUCUCUCUCAAGUUUCUCUGUCUGUAACCUUUGUCGCUUUGUUAGAUCGCUUAAUUACUGUAGAUUGAGGAGAAAUUUGCACCAAUUGACCCUGCUUCUGCAAAUUUACGACUUUUGUUGCUGAAUUAGGGGGUGGGGCAAUGUCAUUGGAUUUGCUGCUGAAGCCGUCGUGCAGUGGAUGCGGAUCCACGACGGAGUUGUAUGGGAGCAAUUGCAAGCACAUGACGUUGUGCUUGAGCUGUGGCAAAACUAUGGCUGAGAAUAAGGGCAAAUGUUACGACUGUGGUGCUACUGUUACUCGCUUAAUAAGAGAAUACAAUGUUCGAGCGAGUUCAAGUAGCGACAAGAACUACUUCAUUGGUCGGUUCAUGAGUGGGCUGCCAAACUUUUCGAAGAAAAGAAAUGCCGAGAAUAAAUGGUCUCUUUACAAGGAAGGUCUACAAGGACGCCAGCUUACUGAUGCCCUGCGGGAAAAGUACAAGAAUAGACCCUGGCUCUUGGAAGAUGAAACUGGCCAAUCUCAAUUCCAAGGCCAUCUCGAGGGUUCACAAUCAGCAACAUAUUACUUGCUUGUAUUGCAAGGAAAGGAAUUUACUGCCAUUCCUGCAGGUUCUUGGUACAACUUCAACAAAGUGGCACAGUAUAAGCAACUUACAUUGGAGGAGGCAGAAGAGAAAAUGAAGAACCGAAAGAAGACAGCGGAUGGAUAUGAAAGAUGGAUGAUGAAAGCUGCAAGUAAUGGUCCUGCGGCAUUUGGUGAAGUUGAGAAGUUUGACGACAAAGAUAGUAUUGGUGCUACUGGCAGGGGACGCAGAAAACCUACUAGUGAUGAGAAUGAAGGUAAUGUUUCAGAUAGGGGAGAAGAAGAUGAAGAAGAAGAGGCAGCAAGGAAGAACAGAUUGGGACUCAACAAAAAGGGUGGUGGUGAUGAUGAUGAUGAGGAAGGCCCUAGGGGAGGUGACCAUGACUUGGAUGAUGAUGAUAUCGAGUCGAUAGGAGAUGAUUGGGAGCAUGAAGAGAUUUUUACCGAUGAUGAUGAAACUACUGCUCCAGAUCGUGAAGAAAGGGAGGAUUUAGCCCCUGAAGUUCCAGCACCUCCAGAGAUUAAACAGGAUGAAGAAGACGAGGAUGAAGAAAAUGAAGGAGAGGGGGGGCUCAGCAAAUCUGGGAAAGAGUUGAAGAAAUUGCUUAGACGUUCUGGGGGCCUUAAUGAUUCAGAUGGAGAGGAGGAGGAGGACGACGACGACGACGACGAUGUAAGAACCUUUUGUGCUUCCUGUGAACAGAACUUAACAGCAUGGCGGAAGAGGAGAGUGGUGGCACUCCAGUUGCGCCUUCAAAGCAGAAGGAUGCAGUUAAAGAAGAAGCUGCAGCCAACAGUCCCUCAAAACCAGCUCCUUCUGGAUCUGCUAAGGGAACCUCUUCUACUGCAAAGACAGCGAAGGGGAAAAGAAAAAAUGGCGAGGAUGUGAAACCAUCCAGUGCACCUCCAAAGAAAAUGAAAACAGAGACGGAAUCAAAGUCGACAGAUGAAGGCAUGUCUACUUCUAGAAGUACGGCCUCGAAAGGUGCAGCAGCAUCAGUCAAAACAGAACCAGCAUCCGCUUCUGGACCCGUUACUGAGGAAGAAAUUAGGGCUGUUUUGCGACAAAGGACACCUGUAACUACACAGGAUCUUGUUGCAAAAUUCAAAGCAAGACUACGAUCUCACGAGGACAAGAAUGCUUUUGCUGAAAUACUGAGGAGAAUUUCAAGGAUUCAAAAGACGAAUGGAGGACCAAGCUAUGUUGUGUUGAGAAAACCUGAAGACUAGAAGAAGUAAGGACAUGUUUCAUCUUUGUGGAUUAUGUGGCGCUUUAUUAUCUAUUAUCCAUGCAAACAAUAGAUUUGUGUAAGAGAUUGGUAUAUGUUGAGAAAGAAACAAAGAAUUCUACAGGUCCUUUUUGUAAAACUAAUUGUUGGUAGUGUUUGAUGAAGAUUCAUAUAUGAAUUACGAUCCC